GGACGAACGCUGGCGGCGUGCCUAACACAUGCAAGUCGAACGGAGUCAAGAAGCUUGCUUUUGACUAGUGGCGGACGGGUGAGUAACGCGUGAGUAACCUGCCUCUGAGAGGGGAAUAACGUUCUGAAAAGAACGCUAAUACCGCAUAAUGUAUCGAAGCCGCAUGACUUUGAUACCAAAGAUUUUAUCGCUCGGAGAUGGACUCGCGUCCGAUUAGUUAGUUGGUGAGGUAACGGCUCACCAAGACCGCGAUCGGUGGCCGGACUGAGAGGUUGAUCGGCCACAUUGGGACUGAGACACGGCCCAGACUCCUACGGGAGGCAGCAGUGGGGGAUAUUGCGCAAUGGGGGCAACCCUGAACCGCAGCAACGCCGCGUGAAGGAUGAAGGUUUUCGGAUUGUAAACUUCUUUUAUCAGGGACGAAGCUUGACGGUACCUGAUGAAUAAGCUCCGGCUAACUGCGUGCCAGCCGCGGC
rnacentral:rRNA from 1 species